GACGAACGCUGGCGGCGUGCUUAACACAUGCAAGUCGAACGAAGUGGCGAACGGGUGAGUAACGCGUAAACAACCUGCCCUUCAGAGGGGGACAACAGUUGGAAACGGUGGCUAAUACCGCAUACUGUCGGUUGAACCCAUAUGGGAUUAGCUAGUAGGUAAGGUAAGGGCUUACCUAGGCGACGAUCCCUAGCCGGGCUGAGAGGAGUAACGGCCACAUUGGGACUGAGACACGUCCCAGACUCCUACGGGAGGCAGCAGUGGGGAAUCUUCCGCAAUGGACGAAAGUCUGACGGAGCAACGCCGCGUGAGUGAUGACGGCCUUCGGGUUGUAAAGCUCUGUUAAUCGGGACGCGGUACCGGAAUAGAAAGCCACGGCUAACUACGUGCCAGCCGCCGCGGUAAUAC
rnacentral:rRNA from 1 species